UACGAAGGGGGCUAGCGUUAUUCGGAAUCACUGGGCGUAAAGCGCACGCAGGCGGAUCGUUAAGUCGGGGUGAAAUCCCGAGGCUCAACCUCGGAACUGCCUUCGAUACUGGCGAUCUUUGAGUCCGGGAGAGAUGAGUGGAACUCCGAGUGUAGAGGUGAAAUUCGUAGAUAUUCGGAAGAACACCAGUGGCGAAGGCGGCUCACUGGCCCGGUACUGACGCUGAGGUGCGAAAGCGUGGGGAGCAAAGCAGG
rnacentral:rRNA from 1 species